UUAGCUUGCUGGAAGAAAUGAAAAUGCCCACAAAUAUUCUCAACCUACCAUCACAUCACCAACUCUCACCUAAUCUACUAGUCACUCAAAUGCAUGCAAGAAAAAGAAAAUGAAAUUGCAAGCUUCUAAAAAUUUACUCUCUACUAUCACGUCUCUGCACACCAUUUCCAUCUAAUCACUUCUUCAAUUCAUCAACUAAAGAAAAUAGAAGAAAAGAAAUCAAGAGCACCGGACCCACCUUCAUUAAACUACAACCAUUUCUCAUAAGCACAUGAAUAAAUCAAAAGAAAAUAAAAUCAACAAUUCCAACCCCUGCUGACACCGUAAAAGAAAAAGCAUUGCUACAACUAAUGGCAGCCACCGUCCCAUCAACACAAGCUUCAACUCCUUUUUUUUUUUUAAAAAGCAAACUAAAUGGAAAACUAAAUGAUGAUCUAAAUGGAUGGGACUGCACCUGCAUGAAAACCGUGACACCUCAUCCUUCAAAUAAAAUCAAUGUUUCAUUCCAAUUGAAAACGGAAAGCAAAGUGUUGCAGCUAGCAAUUUGAAGGGUAAUUCUCUUCACGGUCACAACAUCAAAAUGAAAUAAAAAAAACCAAAGACCUUAUAAGAGGUCCACAUUCCAGCUGUAACAGCAUACAAAUAUUCCCCAAAAUCAUCCAAGACAUCAAGAAUAAAAGCAAAAUGAAAUGUUACGCCUGGAAACAUUUUUCAAUUAACCAAAAUCAAGUGGCAUAAACAUGGUUCAAAGAAGAAGAGAGCUUCCAGCGUUGCAGUCUCUGCCCCUCCAAAAAUUGCCGAGAGACCCCCUCUUUUUCUUGUGUGACGGCUGUAGGGUUCUAAUCCCUA
rnacentral:lncRNA from 1 species